rnacentral:rRNA from 1 species
GACGAACGCUGGCGGCGUGCCUAAUACAUGCAAGUCGAGCGGACAGAUGGGAGCUUGCUCCCUGAUGUUAGCGGCGGACGGGUGAGUAACACGUGGGUAACCUGCCUGUAAGACUGGGAUAACUCCGGGAAACCGGGGCUAAUACCGGAUGGUUGUUUGAACCGCAUGGUUCAGACAUAAAAGGUGGCUUCGGCUACCACUUACAGAUGGACCCGCGGCGCAUUAGCUAGUUGGUGAGGUAACGGCUCACCAAGGCGACGAUGCGUAGCCGACCUGAGAGGGUGAUCGGCCACACUGGGACUGAGACACGGCCCAGACUCCUACGGGAGGCAGCAGUAGGGAAUCUUCCGCAAUGGACGAAAGUCUGACGGAGCAACGCCGCGUGAGUGAUGAAGGUUUU